CAAUUAUACAGCGAAACUGCGAAUGGCUCAUUAUAUAAGUUAUCGUUUAUUUGAUAGUGCCUUACUACUUGGAUAACCGUGGUAAUUCUAGAGCUAAUACAUGCUAAAAACCCCGACUUCGGAAGGGGUGUAUUUAUUAGAUACAAAACCAAUGCCCUUCGGGGCUCUUUGGUGAUUCAUGAUAACUAUACGAAUCGCACGGCCUUGCGCCGGCGAUGGUUCAUUCAAAUUUCUUCCCUAUCAACUUUCGAUGUUUGGGUCUUGGCCAAACAUGGUUGCAACGGGUAACGGAGGGUUAGGGCUCGACCCCGGAGAAGGAGCCUGAGAAACGGCUACUACAUCCAAGGAAGGCAGCAGGCGCGCAAAUUACCCAAUCCCGACUCGGGGAGGUAGUGACAAUAAAUACUGAUACAGGGCCCUUUCGGGCCUUGUAAUUGGAAUGAGUACAAUUUAAAUCCCUUAACGAGGAACAAUUGGAGGGCAAGUCUGGUGCCAGCAGCCGCGGUAAUUCCAGCUCCAAUAGCGUAUAUUAAAGUUGUUGUGGUUAAAAAGCUCGUAGUUGAACCUUGGGCCUGGCUGGCCGGUCCGCCUCACCGCGUGCACUGGUCCGGCCGGGCCUUUCCCUCUGUGGAACCCCAUACCCUUCACUGGGCGUGGCGGGGAAACAGGACAUUUACUUUGAAAAAAUUAGAGUGCUCCAGGCAGGCCUAUGCUCGAAUACAUUAGCAUGGAAUAAUAAAAUAGGACGCGCGGUUCUAUUUUGUUGGUUUAUAGGACCGCCGUAAUGAUUAAUAGGGACAGUCGGGGGCAUCAGUAUUCAAAUGUCAGAGGUGAAAUUCUUGGAUCAUUUGAAGACUAACUACUGCGAAAGCAUUUGCCAAGGAUGUUUUCAUUAAUCAGGAACGAAAGUUAGGGGAUCGAAGACGAUCAGAUACCGUCGUAGUCUUAACCAUAAACUAUGCCGACUAGGGAUCGGACGGUGUUAUUCAUGACCCGUUCGGCACCUUACGAGAAAUCAAAGUGCUUGGGCUCCAGGG
rnacentral:rRNA from 1 species